AACUUUAAAAGCAAGCUUUUAAAGUUAGCGGCGGACGGGUGAGUAACACGUGGGCAACCUGCCUGUAAGACUGGGAUAACUUCGGGAAACCGGAGCUAAUACCGGAUAAUCCUUUUCCCCUCAUGUGGAAAAGCUGAAAGACGGUUUACGCUGUCACUUACAGAUGGGCCCG
rnacentral:rRNA from 1 species